rnacentral:lncRNA from 1 species
AUGGCGCGGGUCGCGGCGGGCGCAGUGGCGGGCUCGGGGCGGCGGGGCGCGCGCGCGGGGCCCGGGCCGGGGCGGGGCCUGCGGGAAUUCGCCCCGCCCCGCUCAAACUUUUCCGGGCCGGUGGGGGCGGGCAGGUGCGUCACGUGGCCAGCGGGGCGGGCCGUGCGGACCCCGCCCCUGCGCGCGAGCCCCGGGCGGCGUCGGCGGGAGCGGCGGAGCCCAGCGGCACGGAGAGGCGCGGCGCGCGCGGCGGGGCCAUGCCCACCAGCUUCACGGUGGUGCCCGUGGAGGCGCGCGCCGACGGCGGGGACGCAGCGGCCGAGCGCGGCGAUGCAGCCGGGACCCCCGACGGCCCCGAGCCCGACGGCCCCAGCCCGGGAGUGGCCGAGCCCAAGGAGGGUGCCAGCGACUGCCUGCCCACCGCUGUUCUCACCCCACUCCUGCCUGCAGAGCCCUGGUCACAAGUCAGUCACAGGGGCACAGGGCUGGGGUGGGGGCUCUUGGGGGGAGCACCUGCUUGAUGCGCAGCCCCCGGGGGCUACUUCUAACUCAGGAGUGGGACAGGGAGGAGGUGGAGACGUUGCCAUGGAAACGGUCAGGGAGUCCAUGUUCCUGCAGGAGACCCCCUGGUUGGCAGGGUGGUCCAGUGGCCUGGGCGGCCUACACUGCCUGUGUGUGGGCCGGGGCCUCCCCCUCUUCUGCCUGUCCCUGACCUUGGGCUGGAGGGGUGGGAGAGGGGCCGCCCACUCCGAGCCCCGCCCCCUCGGGCCUCCUCUGCACUUUCACUUUCUCUGGGUGGGCUGGCCAUGCCAGGACCCCCUGCUGUGGGAGGGUCACCUUGAGCUGGGGAGCUCUGUGGAGACCGGCCCCUGCUCCAGGGCCGGGGAGCAGGGAGGGCCCCUCCUCGGGGCACGGCUAGAGCCACCCUUGGUGACUGCGCUGCCUCCCUGGUGACCCUAACGCGGAGGGAGCUGGGUCUGGAAGGGCCUCGGCUCUGCCCCCCCCCCCACCGCCACCGGCUCCCACGGCCAGGCUGGGCUUCUGCGCCUAGGGCCCGGAGAACUUCCCAGAGCAGCCUCAGCCACACCUCGUGAGUGGCCGGCCGUUGCCCCCUCUGGCCCUGCACUUCCGCUUCCUCUCUGGACUCAGCCGGCUUCGGCCGAGGUGGGCGCCUCUCGCCCACUCUUCCUGUCCUGCUGCCUGGCCGAGGGCGGGGCUGGGGGCCGGCAGGUGCGGGCCGGGGUCUGAGUGCUGUCCUUUCCUGCAGAGGGCUUGUCGGGACUCUCGCUGUCCGCCCGGUCACGGCUGAGUCGUGGGCUCCGGCGUGGCCUGAGUGAACUUGGGCUGUGGCUGAGCUGGCGUGGAACCGGCAGCGGAGUCUGCGGGGCUGAACUUCACAUUUCCUUAGAAGGAGGCAGCUGCUGGCUCGUGGGAUCCCUGACUGCUCAGGGAAGCCGUGGCCGCCACCCGGCCGGCAGCCUUGACCGGGGGAGCCGGGAGCCCAGGCCAGGGUCACUUCCCGAGCAUCAGGGGCUGCAGGCGGAGACAAACCUGCUGGCGACUGGAGUGGCCGGUGCACUGGCGCCUCUCCUGACCGCCGUGCAGGCCCCUGGAGCGCCUGCUGACCGGCCUGGGCCUGCCCCAGCGGCUGUGGCCCGUGCAUGAUGGGGACUUCCCAGAACUGUGCUUGACCUUGAGCCGUCCCUGCUGUGCUGACCCUGGCUCUGCCCAGCGGGUGGGGCGCCUGGCAGCCGUUCCACCCUGGGGCCGUGUCUGUUCUUUGGAGUGUGGACAGUAGGGGCAGGGCCGGCGCGACUCCCUGCAGGUCCCAGCGACUGGGCGCUGCCCUGCCUCCCGCUGUGGCUGUGGGCCGGUGUCUCCAAGGGGAGGGGACGCAGGGGUUGUGUCUGGGGGGGGGCUGGCUUUCUGGGGGGGGGUCCUUUCUUGCUGACAG